rnacentral:snRNA from 1 species
AUCGCUUCUCGGCCUUUUGGCUAAGAUAAAAGUUUAGUUUCUGUUCCUAUCGAAUUAUACUUCGCUAGAGAUUCGAUUAAAUAAAUAAAUUUGUUUAUUUGUUUAUUGAAAUGCACUAAAAGUUGCACCAUAA